UUGCCCUACUCGCCGGCGCCUCUCCUCACUGCCGCCCGACGCCUUCCUCUUCCAUGCCCUAGCGCCGGUGCCGCCACCACAGUCGACGCCGAGGACUUCUUCUCUUCUCCUCUCCCUGCUCUAAUCGGCGCCGCAACAUCCGCCGCCGAGGCCUUAAUUCCUCUGCUGCCGAAGCCCUAGCCGCCGGCGACGCACCGAGCUUCUUUCUUCCUCUCCUCCACUGUGUUUCUGCUGACCUUGGAGGCGCCAUCUUCCCGGAGAGCUGUGCCCUAGCCUUUGCACAGUGCCACUGCCGCGGCAUCUUCUGCCGUAGUUUCCGGCCGAUUUCCCCACUCACUGGAGUAGGCUACGGUUUCCAAUCAGUGACACUCUUCACCAGAGAGUAACCUGCCAAUGUGGUUAGGAGUAUUUGAGUGGAGAUUUUGACCCCCACCUUGCUGCAAUCACUGGAUCCGGCAGUAACUUUAGCCACAAACCUUGAUCCAGCAGUAUUAGGCGACCCUUUGAUUUACAGCAGCAAUUAAUCUUUGCUAGCAGUAGAGUUUUGUUUUCCGGCAGCAGCUUGGUCUAGCAGCGGUUGAUUUGAGGACUUUGACGCGAGACGAGUAUCUCGGAGUCAGAUCGGACCUUUCUAUUUUCGGAGG